UAUCAAUUUUUUCCUAUGUUGAGAAAAUCUUUUCCAUAUCUAUAAUUAGGCAUAUUUCUGGUUCUGAAUGUUAUGUAGUUUGCUGUUUCUCUUAUUUCUUCACUGUCAUUCCUGGAGAUCUGUACAUUUUAUUGGUAUUUUAAAAAAGUUUUAAUUUUACUGAUCAAGUCUACUCUGUUCUAUUUUGUUUUUGCUUUCAUAUACUAUGCUAUUACUACCUAUGUUCAGAGGGAAAAUAUUUUCGUAUAUUAUUAGUGAGAUUUUGAUGGUUAAAAUUUUAAUUUUUCAGGUAUUUGAUGAAUUUGAAAGAGAUACUUUAUUCCUCUUCGAAAGCCUGUUCUGCGUGCUACUGAACUCUCAGUUCAUCCGUGUGAUGGGGAAGACUGAGUCCCAGAGGGAGGAAUCGAAUGUCACUCAGUGCUAGAAAAAUGGGAGCCAAGGUCUUCCGGUUCUUAAGUUCAGCGAGAUCACCUUUCAUCUGAAAGAGAAACGCGGAUGAUCCCUGAGUGUCUUUGGAGCCUGGGA
rnacentral:lncRNA from 1 species